UACCAGCACCCCGAGUGGUCGGGACGAUUAUUGGGCCUAAAGCAUCCGUAGCCGGCCUUACAAGUCCUCCGUCAAAUCCAGCUGCUUAACAGAUGGGCUGCGGAGGAUACUAUAAGACUAGGAGGCAGGAGAGGCAAGCGGUACUCAGUGGGUAGGGGUAAAAUCCGUUGAUCCAUUGAAGACCACCAGUGGCGAAGGCGGCUUGCCAGAAUGCGCUCGACGGUGAGGGAUGAAAGCUGGGGGAGCAAACCGG
rnacentral:rRNA from 1 species